AAAUGGGCUUAAGUAAAAAGGGAUUUAUUGGCUCCAAACCUGGAAGGGGCUGGGGUAUCACUAAAUCCAGUGACUCCGGUGAUGUAUUUGUGUAUCUCUCCCUUUCUGCAAAGGGCCAGUAACCCCUCAGUUCCCUAUCUACUUUGCGACUGUAAUUGCAAGCCUCAUUCUGUCCUGUUACAGUCGUGCGGCAAUUAGGCUGAAGGACUGGCGCGCCCGCUCCCCCGACUGUGAGCCUAGGCGGCGGGUGUCAUGCCCCUCCCCCCCCCCCCCCCCCCGGCGGAACAGUUCAGCAAGACGCUUCCAGUUACUUCCUGCUCUUAAA
rnacentral:sRNA from 1 species